rnacentral:rRNA from 1 species
ACCUUUGCCGGCGACCGGCGCACGGGUGAGUAACACGUGUGCAACCAACCCCGUACCGGGAGAUAACCCGCGGAAACGUGGACUAACAUCCCAUGAGACUCUAGAUCCGCAUGGCUCUAGAUUUAAAAUUCCGGUGGUACGGGACGGGCACGCGCGACAUUAGGUAGUUGGCGGGGUAAGGGCCCACCAAGCCGACGAUGUCUAGGGGUUCUGAGAGGAAGGUCCCCCACACUGGAACUGAGACACGGUCCAG